rnacentral:rRNA from 1 species
GUGGAUGACGUCAAGUCCUCAUGGCCCUUACGGGUUGGGCUACACACGUGCUACAAUGGUGUGACAAUGGGUUAAUCCCAAAAAGCCAUCUCAGUUCGGAUUGGGGUCUGCGACUCGACCCCAUGAAGUCGGAAUCGCUAGUAAUCGCGUAACAGCAUGACGCGGUGAAUACGUUCCCGGGCCUU